UACGUAGGGGGCAAGCGUUGUCCGGAAUCAUUGGGCGUAAAGAGCGUGUAGGCGGCUUGGUAAGUCCGCUGUGAAAGUCCAGGGCUCAACCCUGGAAUGCCGGUGGAAACUGUCAAGCUUGAGUCCGGAAGAGGCGAGUGGAAUUCCUGGUGUAGCGGUGAAAUGCGCAGAUAUCAGGAGGAACACCAAUGGCGAAGGCAGCUCGCUGGGACGGUAACUGACGCUGAGGUGCGAAAGCGUGGGGAGCAAACAGG
rnacentral:rRNA from 1 species